UUAAGUGCCUCAAUGAACGACAUCAGC
rnacentral:piRNA from 1 species